UGGUGACGAUAGCGAAGGGGUCACACCUAUUCCCAUCCCGAACACAGAAGUUAAGCCCUUCAGCGCCGACAAUACUUGCUGGUCUUUUGCUGGGAAGAUAGGUCAUUGCCA
rnacentral:rRNA from 1 species